rnacentral:rRNA from 1 species
CACGUAGGGGGCAAGCGUUGUCCGGAUUUAUUGGGCGUAAAGAGCUCGUAGGCGGUUCGAUAAGUCGGGUGUGAAACCUCCAGGCUCAACCUGGAGACGCCACCCGAUACUGUCGUGACUAGAGUCCAGUAGGGGAGCGUGGAAUUCCUGGUGUAGCGGUGAAAUGCGCAGAUAUCAGGAGGAACACCGAUGGCGAAGGCAGGUCUCUGGGCCACUACUGACGCUGAGAAGCGAAAGCAUGGGGAGCGAACAGG